rnacentral:rRNA from 1 species
GAUGAACGCUGGCGGCGUGCCUAAUACAUGCAAGUCGAGCGAACAGACGAGGAGCUUGCUCCUCUGACGUUAGCGGCGGACGGGUGAGUAACACGUGGAUAACCUACCUAUAAGACUGGGAUAACUUCGGGAAACCGGAGCUAAUACCGGAUAAUAUAUUGAACCGCAUGGUUCAAUAGUGAAAGACGGUUUUGCUGUCACUUAUAGAUGGAUCCGCGCCGCAUUAGCUAGUUGGUAAGGUAACGGCUUACCAAGGCAACGAUGCGUAGCCGACCUGAGAGGGUGAUCGGCCACACUGGAACUGAGACACGGUCCAGACUCCGACGGGAGGCAGCAGUAGGGAAUCUUCCGCAAUGGGCGAAAGCCUGACGGUGCAACGCCGCGUGAGUGAUGAAGGUCUUCUGAUCGUAAAGCUCUGUUAUUAGGGAAGAACAAAUGUGUAAGUACCUAUGCACGUCUUGACGGUACCUAAACAGAAAGCCACGGCUAACUACGUG